rnacentral:sRNA from 1 species
CUCAUCAAGACAGCCCCCUGCUCAGCCUCCACGGACAGGAUCCGAGUUCCCCAGGCUGGAGGGAGCCCCGGCCACAAUGACGCCCAAGCUGGGGCGAGGUGUCUUGGAAGGAGAUGAUGUUCUCUUUUAUGAUGAGUCACCACCACCAAGACCAAAACUGAGUGCUUUAGCGGAAGCCAAAAAGUUAGCUGCUAUCACCAAAUUAAGGGCAAAAGGCCAGGUUCUUAUAAAAACAAACCCAAACAGCAUUAAGAAGCAAAAGGACCCUCAGGACAUCCUGGAGGUGAAGGAACGUGUAGAAAAAAACACCAUGCUUUCUUCUCAAGCUGAGGAUGAAUUGGAGCCUGCCAGGAAAAAAAGGAGAGAACAACUUGCCUACCUGGAAUCUGAGGAAUUUCAGAAAAUCCUAAAAGCAAAAUCAAAACACACAGGCAUCCUGAAAGAGGCCGAGGCUGAGAUGCAGGAGCGCUACUUUGAGCCACUGGUGAAAAAAGAACAAAUGGAAGAAAAGAUGAGAAACAUCAGAGAAGUGAAGUGCCGUGUCGUGACAUGCAAGACGGUGGGUGAAGGUGGGGGCUGCAGAAACCCAUGGGCCCUGUGUGGUGCUUUUGUGACUCGGCAGCAUGUGGAGAACCUGUGGGAUCUGGGGCCCUAUCUCGUGAUGUGUCAGUUAAUUAGGCUGGAAAGCAAAGGGCGCAGGUGGCCCAGGACCCAGCUUCCUGCCUGACCUGGCUGCUGAGCUCUGCUGAUAGAGUGUUUGUUGAGGGGAUUCUUCUCUCAUUUGACCACAGCACCGAGUUUGGAUGGGCCCUAACAUCUCUUGCCCUGGACCACUGGGUCCGCAUGGCUCUGACCACUCUUUCUCAGGUUCUGGCAUAUCCUUGCUCAGUGUUCUCA